UGGUUGUUUCUGUAUUUAUAAUCAAAAAUAAUUUCCAAGAGAACAAAAAAGCCAUGUGAAUAGAAAUUAUUUUUACAGGCAUCUACAAAAAAUGCAAUGGACAUUCAACUUAAAAUUGGUAGGCCUAUCAGCAGCCAAUCAGAGAGGAAAAAAUAUUCUUGUUCUGGGCCAUUUUAGUUGUUAAAUUUUUCACAAAAUGACCAGAUAAAAGAUGUACAACAAUGCGAGUUUAAAGUUUAAACUAUUUGCAAAAAGACUUAUUGUUUUAUUGUUUCUGUGCAACAUUAAAACAUGGGUAGAACUGCAACUACAUAAUCAUAACUCUUCUUCUCUUCAGUGUUUCUGUCAGUUUCUGGUGGUGCAGCUCUGUGCUGCAUUCAGGAGAAUGGGAUAGCAGAGUAUCAUUCAUAAAAUUUCACCCACACAGCAUUUACUGUGCAAACCAGAGCUUUCAUUGGAAAAACAAAAAUUCCAGAUCCUUUCAAUGCCAUACAAAUAUGGGACAGAAACAUGGAUUAUAUCUUUAUAUAGACUUGACUAUUGAUUUAUAGAUUAAUAAUUUUACUGGACAGAAAUUACAAAGACAAAAGUUGGCUCUUAAUCAAAUUCUAAUGAGUCAGAUUGAAAGUGUCAUGGAGUCAAUGAACAGCCUCAUGAUAUUAACACUGUCAUGAAAAAUAAUAUUGAAGAAAUAUAUACAUCAAAUCUAAUUAAAAACAUAAAUAAGCGAUAAGUUCCUUAUUACUGUUAUUGUCUGUAAAAUAAAUAUUUCUUCUUAGUACUAGAUGUGGUCUCAACAAACUCAUGGCACUUUAACAAUAUUAUUUUACCUUUUAUUUGAAAACAAUGACCGUUUAUUCUUGUCAUGUAGUCCUCUGUGUUAAUUAUCGCUCGAAAGGUCUUGCCAUACCAGUUUAUUUCUUUGUAUUUACUUUAGAUUCUUAGACUAUUCUUGCAUUUUGUUCUUCAUUCGUUUCCAUUUAGUUUUCUUUGAUUACUAUUAUCCUCUCUUGGUUUAUUGUUAUCUCCGCUUUAGUUUCUUUCCUGUUGCUAGUUUUAUUUUAUCGUUUGUAUUGUCGCUCACCACCAGUAAUCUUCACUCAUCACGCCAUUCACCUGCUGCGCGGCUUAAUCAUGUGUUUCACCUAAUUUGCCACUCAUAUUAAUUUUGCACUGUCCACCGCCGGAUUCUCUGAUCCUGAGUCACAUCUAGUUCGUUGCUCCGUUCUAGGUCCCGGUUCUCCUGUUUCAGAGUUUUUUGCGCAUCGUUUCUUUCUUCUUUUUUUUUUGACCCCCUGUCAUGAUAUGAGGGAAGACAGGAGAAGCUAUCCGGUUGAAAAGCCGUGCUCUUUAUUGUUGCUCAAGCAUGAGGUAACAACAUGAACUGCUGUUAUUCGAACUCUUAUUCGAACUCGUUUCUGUGUGUCCUUUCCUAGUGCUCCCCCAGUGGUCAGGAAGUGUAACUACCGUUACUCUAGAUAUACAACAGAAACUAAUCUCGCGACACCCCCUAAGGUGCGGAGCGGUCGGGAAGCGUAUCGAUGGAGAAAAGCAGACUGACGUAAACCUUUUAAAACAACGGGAAAAAUCCCGGUAUUCUGAAGAUUAAAAUUCAAAAUUGCUGUGGUACUACAGUUUCAUACCGGAUCACUUUUAGCACCAACGUUAACUAUAUAAAAUGAAUGCUCUCUAUGGUAUCACCCAUAGAGAGAUUUCUUUAUUUAAAUUGGUUAAUUUUUCAGAGGGAUACACGAUGAGGGCAAUGUGAUUUUACUCUUUACAUGUUUAUAAGAGCGAUAUUCCGUUGUCCUUCCAUGGCAGCGUGCAGCAUCCAGAAGAUCAACAAAACAUUUUUAAUAUAAGUUGCUGCUUUGACAUGACUACAGCACUGCCAAAAACCCUCAAUGAAACAUAAAAUAUUUUAAAAUCAAACACCAGACAAGUGAAUCACAGCACCGUCAUCAGCCGAUGUAAAGCUGAACUGACGCGGUGAAGCUACCAAAGCAGGAGAGCGGAGUUGCGCCAAUAAGCUAACAGAAACACUGAAGCGAAGAAAAGCUACCAUCGAUACAGUUGCAGCCAAGCAUGUUUUAAUGUUACACAACACCGUUUUAACAAGUUGCUCAAAGUCUAAACUGGUAUUGUUGUCCAUAUAAGGUGUAAACUAGUUUACCUUCGAGCAAACGCCCCCCAAAGGAAUCUCAGCGCCCCCCCUUAGUAAACACAUCCGCCAGCGCCCCCUGCCGUCCUCUGAACGCCCCCGGGGGCGUCGGUACCGCCCCCGUUGAGAAACGCUAUUCUGCAACAAAAACAAUUCUUGUCCUUAACACUAGCAGGUAUCUUCAGUUUUACAUCUUUCCGAAUCAUGUGAUCUGUUGUUUUCAGUUUUUUAACUGAAAACUUUUUCUUUUUUUUUUAACUAAAGCAUUUACCCAAUCAAUUUUCAGAUGUAUGAUGUAAGAUCAGUUAGUGAACGGCAUUGGCGCCAGUUCACACUCCAGACCAGAUGGUGGCAGUAAUGCGCACUUUCAGUUUUUUAAAAAAGCGCCAAGAACAGCCAAGAAGCCAAAGAUGAGAAGAUAACAGACGCCGUUCAAAUUCGCCAUUUGUACUCGCAUAAAAUUGCCUUAAAACGAAAGAGGGCCUUGAUAAUAGUUAGUAGUUUUGGUAAAUUCAAGCUGGUGAUGUCCUAGUCCGAGUAGGACGACAACACAACUGGACAAGACAUUCAACUUCGUGUUAUAACUGCAUGGAGGCUCUGUUGCGACUUAAAAUAGUUUGCUUCAUAAACUUAACCUGGUUUUAAUUAAGCUUAGUAUGCCAAAGAGACUUUGAUAUUGUGUGGCUGUUGUAACUCGUUCAUCAUUGUUUUUAUCUUCAACAAAUUUUUGCAGUCUAAGCAAAUUAAGAUGAAAGAGGAAGCCAGGGAUCAGGAAUUAGAAAACCUAGAGACUUUCCUGUCUCAGAAGAGGCUCUGGCUCCACCAAAUCACCAACCAGUUCUGAGGAUGAACCUCCACACCAUCUUCAUGAUGGAAGACUUUGUUUUUACUGAGCAGCUGGCUUUAACAGCAAAAACUGGGCCCUGUGAUGGACUGAUGACCUGUCCAGGGUGAACCCUGCCUCUCAUCCGAUGACAGCUGGAGAUGAGCACCACCAUCAGCUUGUUCAGAUCAUGGAUGGAAAGCUUUUAAGCAAAGAAGUCACACAGAAAUGUGUUUUUCACACCAGGCUUCCGGUCCCAAUCAUCAUCAGUUUUGAUGAUGUCACAUAUAUAGCGAGUCCACAACAUCCUAAAAUUGUUUCCGUAAAGUGCAGUGGUCCAGUGAAUAGGAAUGUUCUGUCGUUGAUCCUCACUAUUCUUAGGAGGAGAAAUGUCUGUUUGUCUGGAGUAAAACUGGAAUACUGUGACAUUGUAUUAAAACAAUAUUCUAUCCUUGGUGAAA